rnacentral:tRNA from 1 species
GGCCUGCUAACUCAGUCGGUUAGAGCGUCGUGCUAAUAACGCGAAGGUCGUAGCUUAGAUCCCUGCGCAGGCCA